rnacentral:rRNA from 1 species
CCUCGGUUAUACAAUUUACUUAAAUUAUUUUUUUUAGGAAAUAUUUAAUUUAUAAGUUUGAGGAUUAUUAAUUAUUUUUUAGGUGAAAUUUUAAAUAUUUAAUAGUUUUUAGGUUUAAUAUUAAAUAUGAAAUUCAUUUUUUAAACUAGGAUUAGAUACCCUAUUAUUUUGAGCUUAAAAUUAAAAAUUCUUGGUAAUAAUAGUUAUAAUCUUUAAAUUAAAAGAUUUUGGCGGUAAUUUAAUCUAUUUAGAGGAAUCUGUUCUGUAAUUGAUAAUCCACGUUGGAUUUAACUUUAUUUUAAUUUGUAUAUCUCUGUCAUUAGAAUGUUUUAUUAGGAUUAAUUUUCUUAAAUUAUUAUUUAAUUAAUGUCAGGUCAAGGUGCAGUUAUAUUAAAGGUUGAAAUGGAUUACAUUUAAUGUAUUUAAUUGGAUCAUUAUGAUUGAUAUCUUAUGUGAAAAAGGAUUUAAAAGUAAAUUUUAGUAUCUUCUAUUUUUGAUUUAAGCACUAAAUUAUGCACAUAUCGCCCGUCACUCUCAUUAAGGUGAGAUAAGUCGUAACAAAGUAAUUCUAUUGGAAAAUGGGGUUGGAAGUAG